rnacentral:rRNA from 1 species
UAGCCCUACGGGGCGCAGCAGUGGGGGAUAUUGCACAAUGGGGGGAACCCUGAUGCAGCGACGCCGCGUGGGUGAAGAAGCGCCUCGGCGCGUAAAGCCCUGUCAGCAGGGAAGAAAAUGACGGUACCUGAAGAAGAAGCCCCGGCUAACUACGUGCCAGCAGCCGCGGUAAUACGUAGGGGGCAAGCGUUAUCCGGAUUUACUGGGGGUAAAGGGAGCGUAGACGGUCCUGCAAGCCAGCU